rnacentral:rRNA from 1 species
UACGUAGGUGGCAAGCGUUGUCCGGAUUUACUGGGCGUAAAGGAUGCGUAGGUGGCCAACUAAGUCAGACGUGAAAUCCCUCGGCUUAACCGGGGAACUGCGUCUGAUACUGGAUGGCUUGAGGUUGGGAGAGGGAUGCGGAAUUCCAGGUGUAGCGGUGAAAUGCGUAGAUAUCUGGAGGAACACCGGUGGCGAAGGCGGCAUCCUGGACCAAUUCUGACGCUGAGGAGCGAAAGCCAGGGGAGCAAACGGG